rnacentral:lncRNA from 1 species
GAGAGAGAGAGAGGGGUUGGGGAGGGAGACAAAGAGAAGAAAGGACAGGAAGGAAGGAACAAAAUAUUACGAAAAACAUACCAUUAGGAAACGCGCCACGAUGUGCUGUGUGUGUGUACGGUGUAAAGUGUUGGUGGUAAAAUAGUGAUAACUGAGAUUUUUUUUUUUAUAUAAUAAAACCUUGAAAAAGCUUCCUCGAAGCAAUAAUAUUGACAAAAGAAAAGAAAAGAAAAAAAAAAUAAGAAACUACGAUCACACGAGUUGGUACGAAUUGGCAGCUUUUUAAGGAAGCUUGCCGGUUCGUUCCCCGGCAUCCUGCAGUUUUGUGUCUGGCUGCACUUCUAAUAUCGGCUUGUUGUUUCUUUCAUCUGCCCCGGGAUCCACGCUUUGUGAUAAGCGUGCGCCGAGGCAGAGAAAAUCGUCGAUUAAAAAAAAAAAAACCUCCUCCGGAUAUAAAACUAAGCAAAACCCUUUUUCUAUUCCGAUCGAUCAAAUCGAUGAACACAGGAAGGAAGGAAGGAACGAAGGAAGAAUUAAUAAUAAUCCCAAAUAUAGAACAAAA